rnacentral:lncRNA from 1 species
UCAGAAAGGCGAUUCUCGCCGGUUCCCACAUAACUCCACUCCAUGGAGAGUCUUGGACCUCAUCUCAGAGACCUCCUUUCUCUCCCCGAGUCUGUAGUCGCACAUUUGGGGGCACGAUCCGGCUCAGUUUGGGAAGAAAGUUUUCCAUGGAUUCCACACCACCCUAUACUCUCCCCAGGGAGUAUAAGUAUACUCUUCACCUUCUACUGGCCCCCAACCCACCUCUCCACUUCUAAAGAAGUCCCCAGUUAGGAGUCCCGGGUACAGAGGCCACUCACGUGUCCAGGCGGAUUUUCUUAAGCGCCACCACCUCUCCCGUCAACUUGUUUCUGGCUUUGUACACAACUCCGUACGUGCCCUCUCCGAUCUUUUCCACCUUUUGGAAGUUCUCCAUGAAGCGCCAGCGAGUCGGGUCAGCCCGGCCCUGGAGCGGGGGCCUGGGAACCCUGCAGAAGGCGGACCCUGGCUCUCGGGGGCCGAGGAGGGGGAAACAGGGCCCAGUACCGUGGCCCCGGGUCGGGAUGGAACGCAGUAUACCUCUCGCUCUUGUCAAUUUGGCCAACUU